rnacentral:rRNA from 1 species
ACGGGAGGCAGCAGUGGGGAAUAUUGCACAAUGGGCGAAAGCCUGAUGCAGCAACGCCGCGUGAGCGAUGAAGGCCUUCGGGUCGUAAAGCUCUGUCCUCAAGGAAGAUAAUGACGGUACUUGAGGAGGAAGCCCCGGCUAACUACGUGCCAGCAGCCGCGGUAAUACGUAGGGGGCUAGCGUUAUCCGGAUUUACUGGGCGUAAAGGGUGCGUAGGCGGUCUUUUAAGUCAGGAGUGAAAGGCUACGGCUCAACCGUAGUAAGCUCUUGAAACUGGAGGACUUGAGUGCAGGAGAGGAGAGUGGAAUUCCUAGUGUAGCGGUGAAAUGCGUAGAUAUUAGGAGGAACACCAGUAGCGAAGGCGGCUCUCUGGACUGUAACUGACGCUGAGGCACGAAAGCGUGGGGAGCAAACAGGAUUAGAUACCCUGGUA